GCAUCUCGAAGGAGAAUCCAGGCUCUCUGAUACUCAAAUGGAAAGAGUACAGAGCUUGGCAUAUUCAUGGGACCUUCCUUGCCCCACAGAGAACAAUAGGAAGUGGCUUUUUGAGAAGCUGUUACUUCAUGCAGUUCUUGGACGCAUCGCAAGACAAAUAAAGCAACUUAGAUGAGGCUUGAAAGAAAUCCCAAUAUGGUCACUGGUAACUCGGCGACCUGAUGCUUUACCGCUGCUUUUUCCAAGGGAGGAAGUAUCCCUGUGUCCAGAGGUAAAUUUAAAUAACCGGAAUUAUGGUGUUGCAUCUGUUAUUGUUUUAAUGAAAUGCCGUUUAUAUAACACAUUUUCUUUGUAAACUUCUGUUAAACACAACGCAAUUAGGUUUUUAUACUAAACUUAGGUGGUACUUCAGCAUAUCACUUGGCCAGAAACAGAUGACGGAAGUGAUGAAGAUGACGACUGCUCAAAGGAAACCAAAUGCCGCAUUUCAGGAUAUCUGAAACAGUUCAUUCAUUGCAAAUGCCACACAACCUAAACUGAAAGACAUGAUGAAAUUCUGGACCAGAUGGGAAAAUCUGCCGGCAAGUCUGUCUAUGGAGAUUGUUCACGGAAACUACCCAACAGCUGCCACAUGCUACGAAACG